AUUGAACGCUGGCGGCAGGCCUAACACAUGCAAGUCGAACGAGUGGCGGACGGGUGAGUAAUGUCUGGGCAACUGCCUGAUGGAGGGGGAUAACUACUGGAAACGGUAGCUAAUACCGCAUACCAUCGGAUGUGCCCAGAUGGGAUUAGCUAGUAGGUGGGGUAACGGCUCACCUAGGCGACGAUCCCUAGCUGGUCUGAGAGGAUGACGAGCCACACGGGAACUGAGACACGGCCCAGACGCCUACGGGAGGCAGCAGUGGGAAAUAUUGCACAAUGGGCGCAAGCCUGAUGCAGCCAUGCCGCGUGUAUGAAGAAGGCCUUCGGGUUGUAAAGCUCUUUCGGCGGGGAGGCGUUACCCGAAGAGGAAGCACCGGCUAACUCCGUGCCAGCAGCCGCGGUAAUUC
rnacentral:rRNA from 1 species